rnacentral:piRNA from 1 species
CGAAUACUCGAGAACCCUUGACUGUUUGC